AACAAAGCGGGGCGGAAAAAAAAAUUUGGUUACGAGUGAUAAAAAAAGUCAUGGUAAACGGAGAAGAUCGACCAACAUUUGCACAGGUUGUUGCUGUCAGAGAAAACACCGCAAUGAAAGACGAAACUGGAGCAGUGCCGAUUGAAAAAUUGUAACAGCGACA